rnacentral:rRNA from 1 species
AAACGUAGGGGGCGAGCGUUGUCCGGAAUCACUGGGCGUAAAGGGUGCGUAGGCGGCCGCUUAAGUCCUGUGUGAAAGGCCCCGGCUUAACCGGGGAAGGCCAUGGGAAACUGAGCGGCUUGAGUGCUGGAGAGGGUGGCGGAAUUCCCGGUGUAGCGGUGUAAUGCGUAGAUAUCGGGAGGAACACCAGUGGCGAAGGCGGCCACCUGGACAGUAACUGACGCUGAGGCACGACAGCUGGGGGAGCAAACAGGAUUAGAUACCCUGGUAGUCCCAGCCGUAAACGAUGAGUGCUAGGUGUUGCGGGUAUCGACCCCUGCAGUGCCGCAGUUAACGCAAUAAGCACUCCGCCUGGGGAGUACGGCCGCAAGGCUGAA